rnacentral:SRP_RNA from 1 species
GCGGGCGUGGUGUUGCGUGCCUGUAGUCCCAGUUACUCGGGAGGCUGAGGUGGGAGGAUCGCUUGAGCCCAGGAGUUCUGGGCUGUAGUGUGCUGUGCUGAUAGGGUUUCGCACUAAGUUCGGCAUCAAUAUGGUGACCUCCCAGGAGCGGGGGACCACCAGGUUGCCUAAGGAGGGGUAAACCGGCCCAGGUUGGAAACGGAGCAGGUCAAAACUAAAACUCCCAUGCUAAUCAGUAGUGGAAUCACGCCUGUGAAUAGCCACUGCACUUCAGCCUGGGCAACAUAGUGAGACCCCAUCUCU